rnacentral:lncRNA from 1 species
GGAAGUGCCAGCCCAGAAGGAAGUAGAGGCAAUGCCUCGUGGCCCAAGGCAGGAUGAUGGACAGAACAGGGGGACCCAGGACGACCCACUCAUUCCAUCAGCAGCGUUUGUCGAAUGUCUACCACAUCCCAGAAGCGCUGCCAGCUACUUCCCUCGGGAUACAACAGGGAACAAACAGACAACAAGCCCUGUCUUCAUGGGAUUGAGUCUGAUGAGGAAGGAGACUGUCAACAAGACCAAGAGUAAAUCACUGAGGAUGGUAAUGAGCGCUACGGGGUGCGGGUGGGGGGGCGGACAGGAAAGGGGGAUGGAGAGGUUGGUGGGCAAGCCUGGAGGAGGUGAUACAGGACAGACUUGGAUAAAGGGAGGCAGCAGAGCUCCCAGGUCUG